GACGAACGCUGGCGGCGUGCUUAACACAUGCAAGUCGAACGGUAAGGCCCUUCGGGGUACACGAGUGGCGAACGGGUGAGUAACACGUGGGUGAUCUGCCCUGCACUUCGGGAUAAGCCGGGGAAAAUGGGUCUAAUACCGUAUAGGAACACUGCCUGCAUGGGGGGUGGUGGACAGCCUUUGCGGGGUGGGAUGGGCCCGUGGCCUAUCAGCUGGUUGGUGGGGUGAUGGCCUACCAAGGCGACGACGGGUCGCCGGCCUGAGAGGGUGACCGGCCACACUGGGACUGAGAUACGGCCCAGACUCCUACGGGAGGCAGCAGUGGGGAAUAUUGCACAAUGGGCGCAAGCCUGAUGCAGCGACGCCGCGUGAGGGAUGACGGCCUUCGGGUUGUAAACCUCUUUCAGCACCGACGAAGCGCAAGUGACGGUAGGUGCAGAAGAAGGACCGGCCAACUACGUGCCAGCCGCCGCAGUAA
rnacentral:rRNA from 1 species